AGACAGGAUAAUCAUGACUAUAAAAUCUAAUAGCUUUAAAAAUGUUAAUCUCUAAUGUUUUCAACAGGCUUGUGAAGAGACUUCUUGAGCUUGAGACUUAAUGUACCUUAAAAUCCAGUAUUUGCCUACCAUAAAGCCACAUGAUGCUAGACCAUGAAAGGAUAUUAAACAUCUUAAGUUCCUUUCCAAUAUUAAAAACCUCUUUUUAAAAUGAAAAUGGGACUUCCUUGGUGGUCUAGUGGCUAAGAGUCUGUACUUACAGUGCAGGGGGCUAGAGUUCAAUUACUGGUCAGGGAACUAGAUCCCACAUGCUACAACUAAGACCCCUUGCAGCCAAAUAAAUAAAAAUAAAUAUUAAAAAAAAACCCAAAGUAAUUUAUCUUUUUAUAGAACAUGUAGAUCAGCAAAAGCUGAGAAAAAAAAAUCAUCUUUAAUCCUGCUUCUAAACUGUCAGGACUGUUUCAUAGCUAAAUAUUUGUAAAUGCCUGAGAUUAUUCUCUUGAGGUAAAUGAGGAGUCACUCCAAGAUAGGAAUUGCAGACUUAAAGAAAAUGCCCAUUUCAAGGCUUUUCGCUCAAACUGACGAAUACAGGAAGACAGCAUUUACUUCUGGAAACCUGAGUUCUGGAGUCUCAAGUUUUCUUCAGAGUCCACCUUUACGAACUCUGAGAGAUGGCAUGUUUCCAACCUUCCUAAGCUUUGGCUUUUUUGGCCAACGGGCAAUUUGCCCACAGAGCCAGGUGACCAACGGAUUUCAUUUGGCGGCAGCUGUGAAGACCGACCCGGGCAGCUGGAGGCGUGAAGAGCUCGCUUCCGGGAGAUGGCGGGCAUCCUGAGGCGCUAACACGGUGCCCGGCUGAGGCGAGGCGGACAGCAGGGCAGAAAGCUGGAUUUCCCUGAAUCCUCUUCUCUCUUCUAACCCUGAAGCUGGGUUAGAGUUCACCAGUGAGGACAGAUCAGAAAGAAGAGGGGAGAGAUUUCCUGGUUACAUGGGAAAUUGUGCAGUGGCUUCUGGAAGACCUUCGUCCUAAGCAGUUUUAUAGCAAAACAUCUCAUUUAGACGUCUGGACCCUCUUUCUUCAGUUUACUGUCAGCUGUGUUCACUGAGUAGAACUUGUAUUGAUCAUUGGGACCUAGUCUGUUCCAGGAUUCUCGGUUAUUCUUUCUGUCCCAACUGACAUCUGGAUUGAGCAACGUCUUGCCAGGCACAAGGCAUACAGUGCUGCUCCAGUACCUCCUGCUCCAAUAAAUAUGAUGAAGAGGGGGAUCACGCUAGCAUGCUCCUUGCCUGACCAUGAGUUGGCAGAGCACGGCUGUGACAGAGGCCUUGAGUCUAGAAGGAGAGAAAAAUCAACCUGCAAGGCCCAGGAUUAAGUAGUCUCUGCACCAAGGAGGAACAGACAUCUCUAGAAAGAUAAUUCUUUUUAAAAAAUUUUUAUUUUUUUAAAUUAAUUUUUAUUGGAGUAUAGCUGCUUUAUAUUGUGUUAGUUUCUGCUGUACAGCAAAGUGAGUCAGUUAUAUAUACACAUAUAAUCCCCUCUUUUUUGGAUUUCCUUCCCCUUUAGGUCACCACAGAGCACUGGGUAGAGUUUCCUGUUCUAGCAACAUUAUUCUUGUUGCAGGGUAGAAUGAAUUGGAAGGAAGCAAAGUAGGCGGCAUGUGCAUAUUGCAGUCACCUCGACAAGCAGUGAUGAUGGCCUUGAUGGUAGUUCAUUAUACCAACUCUGUCUAUCCUGGGAGAUUCUGAACAACCUGAAGGCCAGGACUCAGUUUUACUGACCCUGCUUCCCUAGCACAGUGGUAGCUAAUCAACACAUGUUUGCCAAGAAUAUGUAAUUAUUGUUGUCUCUGUAGAAAUAUAUUUUAUCAUUUUUAAUCUGUUUAUGUAUGUACAUUAGCCUAAAAUCAAUUGCUUUUCUCAUACUGAGCUGUCAGCCUAAGCCGUGAGGCAUUUUAGUAAAUUAUCUGUGAUCACUGUU